GCAAAGGCGUUGAGUAGUGCAAGAGGGGAAGGAACAAGGAGACCCUCGGGCACGCGCACGACACUGACAUGAUGGGCACCCGCACCCCCAAGGGACAUGGAGAGGGGGACACCACAUCACUAAGGACGAAGCCCAAAUACUAAUAGCCCCAUCCCGUAGAGAAGAGCAAAAGGAACAACUACAGCACUUAGACAACAUAACAUAAC